CAAAACGUAGCUUAGCCACCUAAAGCAUCUGGCUUACACCCGGAAGACUUCGCACA
rnacentral:tRNA from 1 species